GGUAACCUGCCCUUGACUUUGGGAUAACUUCAGGAAACUGGGGCUAAUACCGGAUAGGAGCUCCUGCUGCAUGGUGGGGGUUGGAAAGUUUCGGCGGUUGGGGAUGGACUCGCGGCUUAUCAGCUUGUUGGUGGGGUAGUGGCUUACCAAGGCUUUGACGGGUAGCCGGCCUGAGAGGGUGACCGGCCACAUUGGGACUGAGAUACGGCCCAG
rnacentral:rRNA from 1 species